UACGGAAGGCAGCAGUGGGGAAUAUUGCACAAUGGGCGCAAGCCUGAUGCAGCCAUGCCGCGUGUAUGAAGAAGGCCUUCGGGUUGUAAAGUACUUUCAGUCGUGAGGAAGGUGUUAAGGUUAAUAACCUUAGCAAUUGACGUUAGCGACAGAAGAAGCACCGGCUAACUCCGUGCCAGCAGCCGCGGUAAUACGGAGGGUGCGAGCGUUAAUCGGAAUUACUGGGCGUAAAGGGCACGCAGGCGGUUAAUUAAGUUGGAUGUGAAAUCCCCGGGCUUAACCUGGGAAUGGCAUUCAAGACUGGUUAGCUAGAGUCUUGUAGAGGGGGUUAGAAUUCCAUGUGUAGCGGUGAAAUGCGUAGAGAUGUGGAGGAAUACCGGUGGCGAAGGCGGCCCCUGGACAAAGACUGACGCUCAUGUGCGAAAGCGUGGGGAGCAA
rnacentral:rRNA from 1 species